rnacentral:rRNA from 1 species
CGGACAGAUGGGAGCUUGCUCCCUGAUGUUAGCGGCGGACGGGUGAGUAACACGUGGGUAACCUGCCUGUAAGACUGGGAUAACUCCGGGAAACCGGGGCUAAUACCGGAUGGUUGUUUGAACCGCAUGGUUCAAACAUAAAAGGUGGCUUCGGCUACCACUUACAGAUGGACCCGCGGCGCAUUAGCUAGUUGGUGAGGUAACGGCUCACCAAGGCAACGAUGCGUAGCCGACCUGAGAGGGUGAUCGGCCACACUGGGACUGAGACACGGCCCAGACUCCUACGGGAGGCAGCAGUAGGGAAUCUUCCGCAAUGGACGAAAGUCUGACGGAGCAACGCCGCGUGAGUGAUGAAGGUUUUCGGAUCGUAAAGCUCUGUUGUUAGGGAAGAACAAGUACCGUUCGAAUAGGGCGGUACCUUGACGGUACCUAACCAGAAAGCCACGGCUAACUACGUGCCAGCAGCCGCGGUAAUACGUAGGUGGCAAGCGUUGUCCGGAAUUAUUGGGCGUAAAGGGCUCGCAGGCGGUUUCUUAAGUCUGAUGUGAAAGCCCCCGGCUCAACCGGGGAGGGUCAUUGGAAACUGGGGAACUUGAGUGCAGAAGAGGAGAGUGGAAUUCCACGUGUAGCGGUGAAAUGCGUAGAGAUGUGGAGGAACACCAGUGGCGAAGGCGACUCUCUGGUCUGUAACUGACGCUGAGGAGCGAAAGCGUGGG